AUAGGAGUGUGAGUGUAUGGGGAGGUGGAGAAGCAAAUGAGGAGGAGGUGGCAGUCUUGUAUUUUUUUCAUCUCAAAGUGUGCACUAAUACCAUUCCAAGGCCUGUUCUCCCUUCCCUUCCUGCAUUAGAGAUUGGCUCUGGGAGAGGGGAAGGCGUUUGCAGCAUAAUAUUACCUUGUGAUUCUAUGACCCUCCUCUAUGCAUCCCUAACUCUCAAAAGCUGAUUCAGCUUUCAGCUUGUGCUCUGGUGACUCCAAUGCUGCAACAGACUCUUCUGGCUGGAUGCCCGGAAUGAGCUUGUGCUUCUAUGGGAAACAUAAUGGGCACUGCCAGUAAGUGACUUAGAAAAUGGGACAUCACCAGGCCACUGUGGAACCACAGAGGUAGAGCUGGAAGAACGUGGAUUUCUGUACAAUGGUGCUGCUGCACAGCACAAAUUGUAUCACAAGAAAUGAUCGUCUCCUUUCAGUUAUACUAACAAUAGUAAUAUCCAAAUAUCCGAUGGGUGAAUCUGGGACAACCCUUGAGAUCUGCUUAAUUAAUCUGAAUUACCCAAUAAUAAUCAGCAGCCUGAAUGUCACAUAUCUGUUACAUUACUUUAUAUGGCAUCAGGGGUUCUUUGAAAUAUUAGGUACGUAAAAUUUUAUUUAACUGACGAUGCAAAAAGCAAGGCUUUACACCUCCCGGACUGCUCCUCUAAUAGAGGAAGGGUACAAUAGGGAAGUAAUGUUUGGUUUAUGUAUAAAUGUUAUUGCCACUGAAAACAGUGUAUAUUUAUACUCUCUCUGAACUGUUGGAUCUGACUCUUGAAACAAUGUAGCAGAAGGCAAACGAUUUACAGACCUGGAGGAGAAUGGAUUUCUGCUACAUUGUUUCAAGAGUCAGAACCAGAGAACAGAAAGGGACUACUUUCAAUAGCAAUUUAAAUUUAAAACCAGUGAAACAAAUAGUAAAUGAGACCAUAUAUCUCUAUAGCAGUAUACAAGAGAGGGUACAAACAUGCUGAGGACUUAUUUCAACC